UCCGAGUUGACCCCGGCAGUAUCCCAUGAGUUCCCACCAUUACGUGCUGGCAACAUAGGACGAGGGUUGCGCUCGUUGCGGGACUUAACCCAACAUCUCACGACACGAGCUGACGACAACCAUGCACCACCUGUAUACCGACCUUGCGGGGCGAUUGUUUCCAGCCGUUUCCGGUAUAUGUCAAGCCUUGGUAAGGUUCUUCGCGUUGCAUCGAAUUAAUCCGCAUGCUCCGCCGCUUGUGCGGGCCCCCGUCAAUUCCUUUAUGUUUUAGCCUUGCGGCCGUACUCCCCAGGCGGAGUGCUUAACGCGUUAGCUUCGGCACCACGAGGGUCAAAGCCCGUGACACCUAGCACUCAUCGUUUACGGCGUGGACUGC
rnacentral:misc_RNA from 1 species